rnacentral:rRNA from 1 species
CAAUAGCGUAUAUUUAAGUUGCUGCAGUUAAAAAGCUCGUAGUUGGAUUUCGGGUGGGAAUGGCCGGUCCGCCGUUUCGGUGUGCACUUGCUACGCCCACCUUGCUGCCGGGGACGUGCUCUUGAGUUCACGCUCGGGACACGGAGUCGGCGAGGUUACUUUGAGUAAAUUAGAGUGUUCAAAGCAGGCAUACGCUCUGAAUACAUUAGCAUGGAAUAACACGAUAGGACUCUGGCCUAUCUUGUUGGUCUGUAGGACCGGAGUAAUGAUUAAGAGGGACAGUCGGGGGCAUUCGUAUUUCAUUGUCAGAGGUGAAAUUCUUGGAUUUAUGAAAGACGAACUACUGCGAAAGCAUUUGCCAAGGAUGUUUUCAUUAA